ACCACCCCUGGAAACAGCUGCACAUGUGCUGUUUUGGUUUUCUUCUUAUCUGUGUCAUCACAGAGGCAUCACCAGCCUCUCUAAUUGGACCAGCAGCAUGUCCAUCUCCAGAGCCAUCAGAGAUUGGCUCUGUCAGACAUGGUGGAAGCUUCUAGCAGCUUCUCACAGGAGCCACUUCUAUGUCCUCCGCCACUGUAAAACAAACCAGGCCGUGCCUAAUCAACACAAAACCAAAACUAAACAAACUGCAGCCCUCAUCUGAGACUUAUGGGCUGUAUAAAUGCACUUGAGAAUAACCCCUUGGAACAAUGAAAUCAGAAAACCAGUGCUGGAGGACUGUGGAGUGGUGAUAUGAAGUGUUUGCACAAGUAUUGGUAGAGAACAAUGCUGGGAAGGAAAUGGAUCCUUGAUGGACUCCUGGGCAGAUGAAGUUACCCAUGGCUUCAGCUAGCUGAGUCAGCUCCUGUUCUUGCAACUUUUUCUGUAAAGGGAAAAUGGAAUAAGCUCAGAGAACCAAGAAAGUACAGCAACUUUACAAAGCAAUUUGUUGGAAAUGGAGGUUUGGAGAUUCUGGAGAAGUGCACAGAGGAAAUGGCUGAGUGAUCAGGUUUGGGAUAAGAUCAGAGCUCAGGAACAUGGCGUGAAGUAACUUGCAAGAUUGUAGAACAAAAAGGAUGGGGUAGGUUCUAGGAAGAUCUUGGAGGAUCAGGAACUGCUCUUUGGGCUGGAGGGCACACAAAUGAUAUUGUGUGGCUAGUGCACUGUUGCUGUAGAGACAGACAAGACACUUGUUUCUUCAUGCAGCAAUAACUGAAUAUUGCUCACAGCUUACAUUUGUAUCAUUUUCUAAAAGUAUCAUGUUUAUUUCUAAUUGGUUAGUGGUGGAGGAAGCCCAGUCCUCUACAGACGUCCUCCCUGGAGAUCUGCCCCCUGAGAUAAGACAAAGCUGCCUAGUCACAGUGACUGAGCUGUGGAGCCCUUCCUGCCUCAGGAGCCCAUGUUAUCUCCCUGUUAACUCCUGGUCAUCUUUUCCUGGUCUCAGACUCUUUGAUCCCCUUCCCAAUUCUCCCUGUACCUAUAAAAACCCCGGCUUUUGCCCAGUUCAGCUUGGACCAUCACUUGGCUGAAGCCUGCAUUAAAGACUCUCUGUGGAACACCA